rnacentral:rRNA from 1 species
GACGAACGCUGGCGGCGUGCUUAACACAUGCAAGUCGAGCGGUAAGGCCCUUCGGGUACGACGAGCGGCGAACGGGUGAGUAACACGUGGGUGACCUGCCCUCAGCUCUGGGAUAAGCCUGGGAAACCGGGUCUAAUACCGGAUAUGACUCCAUGACGCAUGUUGUGGGGUGGAAAGCCUUGUGCGGCUGAGGAUGGGCCCGCGGCCUAUCAGCUUGUUGGUGGGGUGAUGGCCUACCAAGGCGACGACGGGUAGCCGGCCUGAGAGGGCGACCGGCCACACUGGGACUGGGACACGGCCCAGACUCCUACGGGAGGCAGCAGUGGGGAAUCUUGCGCAAUGGGCGAAAGCCUGACGCAGCGACGCCGCGUGAGGGAUGACGGCCUGG